CACGUAGGGGGCUAGCGUUGUCCGGAUUUAUUGGGCGUAAAGAGCGUGUAGGCGGCCAGGUAGGUCUGCUGUGAAAACUCGAGGCUCAACCUCGAGACGCCGAUGGAAACCAUCUGACUAGAGUCCGGAAGAGGAGAGUGGAAUUCCCGGUGUAGCGGUGAAAUGCGCAGAUAUCGGGAAGAACACCCGUGGCGAAGGCGGUUCUCUGGGACGGUACUGACGCUGAGACGCGAAAGCGUGGGGAGCGAACAGG
rnacentral:rRNA from 1 species